CCGCGGUAAUACGUAGGGUGCGAGCGUUAUCCGGAAUUAUUGGGCGUAAAGAGCUCGUAGGCGGUUUUGUCGCGUCUGUCGUGAAAGUCCGGGGCUUAACCCCGGAUCUGCGGUGGGUACGGGCAGACUAGAGUGCAGUAGGGGAGACUGGAAUUCCUGGUGUAGCGGUGGAAUGCGCAGAUAUCAGGAGGAACACCGAUGGCGAAGGCAGGUCUCUGGGCUGUAACUGACGCUGAGGAGCGAAAGCAUGGGGAGCGAACAGGAUUAGAUACCCUGGUAGUCCAUGCCGUAAACGUUGGGCACUAGGUGUGGGGACCAUUCCACGGUUUCCGCGCCGCAGCUAACGCAUUAAGUGCCCCGCCUGGGGAGUACGGCCGCAAGGCUAAAACUCAAAGGAAUUGACGGGGGCCCGCACAAGCGGCGGAGCAUGCGGAUUAAUUCGAUGCAACGCGAAGAACCUUACCAAGGCUUGACAUGUUCUCGAUCGCCGUAGAGAUACGGUUUCCCCUUUGGGGCGGGUUCACAGGUGGUGCAUGGUUGUCGUCAGCUCGUGUCGUGAGAUGUUGGGUUAAGUCCCGCAACGAGCGCAACCCUCGUUCCAUGUUGCCAGCACGUAAUGGUGGGGACUCAUGGGAGACUGCCGGGGUCAACUCGGAGGAAGGUGAGGACGACGUCAAAUCAUCAUGCCCCUUAUGUCUUGGGCUUCACGCAUGCUACAAUGGCCGGUACAAUGGGUUGCGAUACUGUGAGGUGGAGCUAAUCCCAAAAAGCCGGUCUCAGUUCGGAUUGGGGUCUGCAACUCGACCCCAUGAAGUCGGAGUCGCUAGUAAUCGCAGAUCAGCAACGCUGCGGUGAAUACGUUCCCGGGCCUUGUACACACCGCCCGUCAAGUCACGAAAGUUGGUAACACCCGAAGCC
rnacentral:rRNA from 1 species